rnacentral:rRNA from 1 species
UACGUAGGGAGCAAGCGUUGUCCGGAAUCAUUGGGCGUAAAGAGCGCGCAGGCGGUCUAUCAAGUCAGAUGUGAAAUAUCCGGGCUUAACCCGGAGGGGUCAUUUGAAACUGGUAGACUAGAGUACAGCAGAGGAUAGCGGAAUUCCCGGUGUAGUGGUGAAAUGCGUAGAUAUCGGGAGGAACACCAGUGGCGAAGGCGGCUAUCUGGGCUGAAACUGACGCUGAGGCGCGAAGGCUAGGGGAGCAAACAGG